GACCCAAAAGAUGGUGAACUAUGCAUGAGCUAGGUGAAGCUAGAGGAAACUCUGGUGGAGGCCAAUAACGAUACUAACAUUCAAAUUGUUCGUCUACUUGGGUAUUGGGACAAAAGACUAAUCGAACCGUCUAGUAAUUGG
rfam:Cajanus cajan CcLG11_601, whole genome shotgun sequence.